rnacentral:ribozyme from 1 species
UGCCCAGCAACUCCUAUCCCUACCUCCUCGUGGUACUGGCCGGGGUACGAGUAACCUUAGGGAAGAUCUAGUAACCAACCCCGGUGGGAACUUUGGUCGUAUGCUGAUAGGGAAGG